rnacentral:rRNA from 1 species
AUCGUACGACGAGUUUGGAUCAUGGCUCAGAACGAACGCUGGCGGCAGGCUUAACACAUGCAAGUCGAACGGGAUUAUCUAGCUUGCUAGAUAUGAGAGUGGCGCACGGGUGAGUAACGCGUAGGGAUCUACCCUAGAGUGGGGGAUAACAGUUGGAAACGACUGCUAAUACCGCAUAAUCUCUGAGGAGGAAAGCUUUAGUGCUUUAGGAUGAACCUGCGUUAGAUUAGUUAGUUGGUGGGGAAAUGGCCUACCAAGGCGACGAUCUAUAGCUGGUCUGAGAGGAUGAUCAGCCACACUGGGACUGAGACACGGCCCAGACUCCUACGGGAGGCAGCAGUGAGGAAUAUUGGACAAUGGGGGCAACCCUGAUCCAGCCAUGUCGCGUGAGUGAAGAAGGCCUCGGUUGUAAGACGUCUUUCGUAAUAGUGAAGAUGAUGACGGUAGACGAUUUAAAGUAAGACUCCGGCUAACUUCGUUG